AGAAGGUAUCUGGGAGAAGGUAUCUGGGAGAAGGUAUCUUGGAGAAGGUAUCUGGGAAAGCGUAUCUGGGAGAAGAUACCUUCUCCCAGUUACCUUCUCCCAGAUACCUUCUCCCAGAUACCUUCU
rnacentral:pre_miRNA from 1 species